GGGCCCGUAGCUUAGUGGUGGAGCGCCCGGCUCAUAACCGGGUGGCCGUGGGUUCGAAUCCCUCCGGGCCCACCA
rnacentral:tRNA from 1 species